rnacentral:rRNA from 1 species
GGAUGAGCCCUAGCUCCAGGUUUAACACACACAGUCGGGGGGCAGCACGAGGGUUUGCUUGCAAACCUUUGAUGGCGACCGGCGCACGGGUGAGUAAACGGAGUAUCCAACCUUCCCAUAACCGGAGAAUAACCUGCAGAAAGGUAGACUAAUACUCCAUGGUUUCCGCUGAUGGCAUCAGAUGUGGAAUAAAGAUUUGUUUUGGUUAUGGAUGGGGAUGCGUCUGAUUAGCUUGUUGGCGGGGUAACGGCCCACCAAGGCAACGAUCAGUAGGGGUUCUGAGAGGAAGGUCCCCCACAUUGGAACUGAGACACGGCCCAAACUCCUACGGGAGGCAGCAGUGAGGAAUAUUGGUCAAUGGACGGAAGUCUGAACCAGCCAAGUAGCGUGCAGGAUGACGGCCUUAUGGGUUGUAAACUGCUUUUAUGCGGGGAUAAAGUUAGUCACGUGUGACUAUUUGCAGGUACCGCAUGAAUAAGGACCGGCUAAUUCCGUGCCAGCAGCCGCGGUAAUACGGAAGGUCCCGGCGUUAUCCGGAUUUAUUGGGUUUAAAGGGAGCGUAGGCCGUGGAUUAAGCGUGUUGUGAAAUGUAGACGCUCAACGUCUGACUUGCAGCGCGAACUGGUUCACUUGAGUGUGCGCAACGCAGGCGGAAUUCGUGGUGUAGCGGUGAAAUGCUUAGAUAUCACGAAGAACUCCGAUUGCGAAGGCAGCUUGCGGGAGCACAACUGACGCUGAAGCUCGAAAGUGCGGGUAUCAAACAGG